rnacentral:rRNA from 1 species
UACGAAGGGGGCUAGCGUUGCUCGGAAUCACUGGGCGUAAAGGGUGCGUAGGCGGGUUUUAAGUCAGGGUGAAUCCUGGAGCUCAACUCCAGAACUGCCUUUGAUACUGAAGAUCUUGAGUCCGGGAGAGGUGAGUGGAACUGCGAGUGUAGAGGUGAAAUUCGUAGAUAUUCGCAAGAACACCAGUGGCGAAGGCGGCUCACUGGCCCGGUACUGACGCUGAGGCACGAAAGCGUGGGGAGCAAACAGG